UACGGAGGGUGCAAGCGUUAUCCGGAAUCAUUGGGUUUAAAGGGUCCAUAGGCGGGUGCGUAAGUCAGUGGUGAAAGUCUGCAGCUUAACUGUAGAACUGCCAUUGAUACUGCACACCUUGAGUAAUUAUGAAGUGGUUAGAAUAUGUAGUGUAGCGGUGAAAUGCAUAGAUAUUACAUAGAACACCGAUUGCGAAGGCAGGUCACUGACAAUAUACUGACGCUGAUGGACGAAAGCGUAGGUAGCGAACAGG
rnacentral:misc_RNA from 1 species